UCCGACGUAGUCUAGCGGUUAGGAUGCGUGGCUCUCACCCACGUGACCCGGGUUCGAUUCCCGGCGUCGGAA